rnacentral:tRNA from 1 species
GUGGUUAUGGCUCAGUGGUAGAGCGCUUGCCUCGCACAAGCAAGGCCCUGGGUUCGAUCCUCAGCACCACA